ACAGAAGCCAUUAUUUCGGGGUCUCUUUAAAAAUCCUGUGCCCAUCUCUCUCCCUCCCUUCCCCCUCCCUCCCUCUCUCCUCCCCACACCACCCCCAGUGAAACUCUGGCACCCAGAGAGCACUCUUUUCAGCCAGAGAGCCCAGAACCAGCCUUGUCCCCUGGCAAAAGAGGCCCAGUGCUGAGCCCUGGACAAGUGUCUCCAGACAUUGCUACCCCUCCUCCUCUUACUAGUUUCCCUUCCCAACAGAAAUUAUUUCCUUUUGCCACCAAAAGUAGGCUGCAUUCAAAAGUUUCUCACAAGCCUAAAAAAGAAAAAGGAAAAAUUGACAACUAUUAUACAGAAGAAGUCACAAAAGCUGCAGCAGCACCAGGGGCCAAGAAACAGCGUCAGACGCAGAUGACAAGUUCUAGGAAAGUUUCUGACUGAUGAGCUCAAGUUGAGAGGUCUCCUUUUGAAAAGACUGACUGAAUUGGAGAAGGCACCUCAGACGGUUUUGGUGGCCUGCAAGACACACCAAAAGACUCCCCCAAGUCACGCAAGGGAGAAAAUGAAACCCUCCACUGGCCUCUAUCAGGGAAACUAAUUUUCCCCCUUUUCUGCACAUAUUCUAAACUCUUUAACUCUAAUUUGCAGUUCAGAAAAUAAGGUUUUUCUUUUUCUUUUUCUUUAUACUUUGGAUAUAGAGCACCCCCAAAGGAACAAUGUGUUGUGCUAAGAGUUGUGAGCCUAUUGUGGGUAAGGCCCAGACUUAGUUGCUGCAAGAGGAAGUUCACUUACACCUGCUCGGUGAUCUAGAGACCCCAGGUCAGAUCAGCUCCUACUUCCUUCCUCCCCACCAUGAAAGAGCAAGCUUGGUGGUGGCAACUCAAAAAUUAAGAGGUUUGAAAUUCUAUGUGUAGUCUUUCUGAGUUAAGUCCUAAAUGACAAUUCCCUUAAUCAUGUGGAAAAUAAGAAAUCUGGCUAAAGGUUUUAGCUUAAAGUCAUUGAUUUAAAAGAAAUGGAAACAUAGGUUCAUAUAGAAACUUGUACGUGAAUGUUCACAGCAGAACUUUCAUAAUAGUCAAGAAAGGAAAAGAGUUCAAAUAUCUGUUAACUAAUGAAUAGAUAAACAAAAUGUGGUAUAUCCAUGUAAUAGAAUACUAUUCAGCAAUAAAAAGAAAUGAAAUAUUGAUGAAUACAACAACAUGGAUGAACCUUAAAACAUCAUGCUAAGUAAAAAAAUGUCAAUCACAAAUGGACACAUGUUUUAUGAUUCCAUUGUGGAAUUAUGGAAUCAUACAACAUGUAUUUUUUAUGAUUAAUUCCUACAGUACACAUAUUUAUAGAAACAGAAAGCAGACUAGUGGUUGGUUAGGUCUUGGGAAGAGAUGGGGGAUGUUGGAAAGUGAUAGCAAAGUGGUACAGAGUUUCUUUGUGGGAUGAUAGAAAUGUUCUAAAAUUGAGUUGGCAGUUGUACCACUUGGUGAAUGCAUUGAAAACCACUCUUGUUGUAAAAGUGAGUUGCAUGAUGUGUGAAUUAUAUCUCAAUAAAGAUGC